AUGUAGGAUGAACACAGAGCUGUCUCUUCCCAUGUGCACUCAGAAUUCCUGGGUUGGGAGUCUCAGGCCUGCUUGCCCAACAGAAACACCCGUGGAACUCACCAUCCAACAUUCACUACAUUCCGUGACCCAGAAUUGAGGACCAAGCCUUGAAUAUUUUAUUCUUACAUUCCAGAGCAGCAUUAGGAAACCAGGUCUCAGGAAGGAAGCUGUAACUGCAGGUGAUCAAACUGUCUUGUGCAGUUGUGGUAGGAACCUUCCUGCUGUCCUCCAUCUCUUUUGGGCCUCCUGUUUCUAUUAUCAGGCAGCUUGGAUGGAUGAUCUAGUGAGGGGACUUCACACUGAAGCAAGUCCAGAAAACACCCCAAGAAGAGUCAAGACAUUAGAGAUCUGUUCUCUGUAGCCAUUGACAGAGUCUAGGGCUUUGUUUAGAGUUUAUUUUUCACUGUGACUUCCUGUCUCUACUAUGUGUGGUUCAUUUCUUCCCUCUGAGUAGUCACCUUUCCCCUUUCAAAUGCAAAGCAACAAGCUAAAAGAUGAAGCCCGUGUUUAAAAAUAUCAUUUUGAAGGGGGAAUUCCAAUUACUGGUACUCUGAAGGAAGUUAGAGCCCUCCUCAGAGAUAUCAGCAGUUAGGUAUAGUCCAGGAAAGGCAUGUGGGACACAUAGAAAGGAGUGGUCAGGUGAGCUGGCUGCACUCACAGCUCUCUGGAGUUCUAGGCUAACAAAUGAGUUACAAGGAGAGAAGAGGAGACGGUGCUAGAGAUGUAAUUUAAGGCUGCAGAAACUCAGCUCUCACUGGUAGGAUGCCGGGCUCAGGGUGUGCCGGGUGUUGGCAGCUGUCCUGUGGCUUCCAGAAGCAUCAGAGAAACCCAGUUUCUGGGGCAGAGGGAAAUACAGACAGACAAGGCUUAGUGGCCACAUGUGAUCAAGGCUGCAACAGAGAGCGGAGUGUCUCAGGGUGAGCUUUGGGUAGUUACAGUACUUAGAAGAGACCACACAAUAUUAAUGGGGUUACAAAGUUGACCCAGUCAGUAGAUAUCGUUUGGAAACCAUGUGCUAGCAAGCUUACAGUGAAAAUCCCCAAUUUCAGAAUUUCGUUGGGUUCAGGAAAGGGCUGACCAAAACUCUUCUCUUAAGUAUGCACCCCACUUCUGCAUCUCCUCCUAGGUAUGCACCCCCACUUUUGCAUCACACUGUAGCUUUUCUGUCCAUAUUCAGAACUUAAUUCUUGAACGAGUCUUUGAAGAAUGUGGAAGAUGGGAAAAUUAGAAAAAGUGUGGAAUCUUUUGGAAGCUCCCCAGACACAUUACUCAGCAAGGUAGAUAAACGUGUUGUUAACAUUUUCUUCUUGGAAGAAAACAUUUUUUUUUUUUUUUUAGUUUGCAGGAGAGAAGGGCACAUUUGUUGGUUGAUGGCUCAGUUGCCAUGGAAACACAGGAAUUAAAUAUGAAAAAAAUGUUUUAAUACAUUAAUUCUUUAGAUCUCCUCACCCUACCUGCCUUUUCCUUUCAGGUGUGACAAGCCUGAAUGAGAAGUAGCCUUGACCCCGGUCAUCUUUUGAACCAGCGUCAUCACCAGAGGCAUGCUAGAACAUUCCUUUUUCUCUUUCAGCUGGAUACGCAUUUUAUGUUUAAUUUCUUUUCAGGGUCUGUAGACAGAACCCAGGGUCUUCUGCGUGCUAGGCUAACAGUCUAGCCCAGCUCCAUCUGCAGGUCUGGCUGUGCACUUUAGAUUUGUGUUUUCGGUGUGACUAGAUUGCCUUAGGUGCCUGUGGGAAAGUCUGCAGGCUCUGCGUGUGCUUUAUAAGAGCAGUGCGUGGCUGGCGGGACUAGGCAGGUAUGAGAAGACGGGCCAUUUGGUCCGGCUUUAGAGGCCUUACUAGGCUCCGUGUGUUCACUUAUUUCAGUAAUGAUAACAAAAUGCCUUAGAACAUUUUAUUUAUUAUCAGGAGCAACUUGUUUUUUUGUAGUUCUGCAGCUCUGAAGUCCACAGUCAAGGUCUUGGCAUAUUUGGUGUCUGGCAAGGGUAUUUCCUUAUGGCAGAUCCUUCUUCGUGUUCUCACAUUCCAGAAGAGACAACGGGGUUCUUUUGGGGGGCAUUUUUACAAGGGCUCUAUUCCCAUUCAUGAACUAGUUACCUUCCAAUGGCCCCACCUCAUACUACUACUACCCUCAAGGGUAAAUUUCAAUAUCUGACUCUUGUAGGGUGUGUGGGUUAGGUUUCAUCAACUUGAUACAAACUAGAGUCAUCUGGGAAGAGGAAACAUGACUGAGGAAUCGUUUUCUCUCUCUCUCUUUCUCUCUCUUUCUUUCUUUUUCUCGGUUUUUAGACAGAGUUUCUCCGUGUAACCCUGGCUGUCCUGGAACUCACUCUGUAGACCAGGCUGGCCUCGAACUCAGAAAUCUACCUGUCUUUGCCUCUCACAUGCUGGGAUUAAAGGCAUGUGCCACCACUGCACAUCGUGGACUUAUUUCUGUCAGAUUGUUCUAUGGCAUCUUUUUAAUUGAUGAUUAAUAUGGGGUGGCACAGCCCAUCAUGAGUGGUACCAGCCCUGGGCAGGUAGCCCUGGGUUGUAUAAGAAAGCAGGCUGAACAAGGCACAGAGAACAAGCCAAUAAACAACUUCCCUCCA
rnacentral:lncRNA from 1 species